AUUGAACGCUGGCGGCAGGCCUAACACAUGCAAGUCGAACGAGUGGCGGACGGGUGAGUAAUGUCUGGGAAACUGCCCGAUGGAGGGGGCUAACUACUGGAAACGGUAGCUAAUACCGCAUACCAUCGGAUGUGCCCAGAUGGGAUUAGCUAGUAGGUGGGGUAACGGCUAACCUGAGCGACGAUCCCUAGCUGGUCUGAGAGGAUGCCCAGCCACCCUGGAACGCAGACACGGUCCAGACUCCUACGGUAGGCAUCAGUGUGGAAUAUUGCACAAUGAGCUCAAGCCUGAUGCAGCCAUGCCGCGUGUAUGAAGAAGUCCUUCGGGUUGUAAAGUACGUUCAGCGAGGAGGCGUUACUCGCAGAAGAAGCACCGGCUAACUCCGUGCCAGCAGCCGCGGUAAUAG
rnacentral:rRNA from 1 species